GAUGAAGAACGCAGCGAAAUGCGAUAAGUAGUGUGAAUUGCAGAAUUCAGUGAAUCAUCGAAUCUUUGAACGCACAUUGCGCCCCUUGGUAUUCCAUGGGGCAUGCCUGUUCGAGCGUCAUUUGUACCUUCAAGCUUUGCUUGGUGUUGGGUGUUUGUCUCGCCUUUGCGUGUAGACUCGCCUUAAAAUAAUUGGCAGCCGGCGUAUUGAUUUCGGAGCGCAGUACAUCUCGCGCUUUGCACUCAUAACGACAGCGUCCAAAAGUACAUUUUACACUCUUGACCUCGGAUCAGGUAGGGAUACCCGCUGAACUUAAGCUUAUCAAUAAGCGGAGGA
rnacentral:misc_RNA from 1 species